ACGGAAGGCAGCAGUGGGGAAUAUUGCACAAUGGGCGCAUGCCUGAUGCAGCGAUGCCGCGUGAGGGAAGAAGGUUUUCGGAUUGUAAACCUCUGUCAACAGGGACGAAAAUGACGGUACCUGUGAAGGAAGCUCCGGCUAACUACGUGCCAGCAGCCGCGGUACUACGUAGGGAGCAAGCGUUAUCCGGAAUUACUGGGUGUAAAGGGAGUGUAGGCGGGACUGUAAGUCAGAUGUGAAAUAUGCCGGCUCAACUGGCAGACUGCAUUUGAAACUGCGGUUCUUGAGUGAAGUAGAGGUAAGCGGAAUUCCUAGUGUAGCGGUGAAAUGCGUAGAUAUUAGGAGGAACAUCAGUGGCGAAGGCGGCUUACUGGGCUUUAACUGACGCUGAGGCUCGAAAGCGUGGGGAGCAAACAGGAUUAGAUACCCUGGUA
rnacentral:rRNA from 1 species